UUAGAGUUUGAUCCUGGCUCAGGAUGAACGCUAGCGACAGGCUUAACACAUGCAAGUCGAGGGGCAGCAGGGGAGUAGCAAUACUCCCGCUGGCGACCGGCGCACGGGUGAGUAACACGUAUGCAACCUGCCCUUGUCAGGGGGAUAAGCGGAAGAAAUUCCGUCUAAUACCGCAUAAUGCUGCGGGGAGACAUCUCCCUGCAGCCAAAGAUUUAUCGGACAAGGAUGGGCACGCGGCGCAUUAGCUGGUUGGCGGGGUAACGGCCCACCAAGGCGACGAUGCGUAGGGGUUCUGAGAGGAAGGUCCCCCACACUGGUACUGAGACACGGACCAGACUCCUACGGGAGGCAGCAGUGAGGAAUAUUGGUCAAUGGCCGGGAGGCUGAACCAGCCAAGUCGCGUGAGGGAAGACGGUCCUAUGGAUUGUAAACCUCUUUUGUCAGGGAGCAAAAACUGCCACGCGUGGCAGGAUGAGAGUACCUGAAGAAAAAGCAUCGGCUAACUCCGUGCCAGCAGCCGCGGUAAUACGGAGGAUGCGAGCGUUAUCCGGAUUUAUUGGGUUUAAAGGGUGCGUAGGCGGUCGGAUAAGUUAGAGGUGAAAUCCCGGGGCUCAACUCCGGAAUUGCCUCUGAUACUGUUCGGCUAGAGAGUAGUUGCGGUAGGCGGAAUGUAUGGUGUAGCGGUGAAAUGCUUAGAGAUCAUACAGAACACCGAUUGCGAAGGCAGCUUACCAAGCUACAUCUGACGUUGAGGCACGAAAGCGUGGGGAGCAAACAGGAUUAGAUACCCUGGUAGUCCACGCGGUAAACGAUGAUAAGUCGUUGUCGGCGAUACAAUGUCGGUGACUAAGCGAAAGCGAUAAGUUAUCCACCUGGGGAGUACGUUCGCAAGAAUGAAACUCAAAGGAAUUGACGGGGGCCCGCACAGGCGGAGGAACAUGUGGUUUAAUUCGAUGAUACGCGAGGAACCUUACCCGGGCUUGAAAGUUACUGACGCUUCUGGAAACAGGAGUUCCCUUCGGGGCAGGAAACUAGGUGCUGCAUGGUUGUCGUCAGCUCGUGCCGCGAGGUGUCGGGUUAAGUCCCAUAACGAGCGCAACCCCUACCGUUAGUUGCCAUCAGGUAAAGCUGGGCACUCUGGCGGGACUGCCGGUGUAAGCCGAGAGGAAGGUGGGGAUGACGUCAAAUCAUCAUGCCCCUUAUGGGCUGGGCUACACACGUGCUACAAUGGCGCCAACAGAGUGAGGCAAACCUGCGAGGGGGAGCAAAGCACAAAAAAGGCGUCCCAGUUCGGAUUACAGCCUGCAACCCGGCUGUAUGAAGCUGGAAUCGCUAGUAAUCGCAGAUCAGAAUGCUGCGGUGAAUACGUUCCCGGGUCUUGCACUCACCGCCCGUCAAG
rnacentral:rRNA from 1 species